rnacentral:ncRNA from 1 species
CCGGACCAGCGUCGGGACCUUCCUGUGGAAAGCCUCAGCUGCGCGGCGUCUGAGGGCUUCGUGCCCAAAGUGCUAUGCUUCGGCCGGCAAAAAACAGUCAACUCAGAACUGGCACGGACCGGGGGAAUCCGACUGUCUAAUUAAAACAAAGCAUUGCGAUGGCCGCUGGUCGGUGUUGACGCAAUGUGAUUUCUGCCCAGUGCUCUGAAUGUCAACGUGAAGAGAUUCAUCAAAGCGCGGGUAAACGGCGGGAGUAACUAUGACUCUCUUGUGGUAGCCAAAUGCCUCGUCAUCUAAUUAGUGACGCGCAUGAAUGGAUUAACGUUAGAGUUUCUCGGGUCGAUCGCGGCGGGCCGCCGCGAUUCCCGGCUCGACGACGCCACGUGGACGUGGGGGCAUUAGUCGUUCGCCGAGGUAACGGUGCGAGCGACGCUCCCAUGCACUCGUUUUUGGUGUGAACCGCUGCGGUGUCAAAUCGUCUGUAGACGACUUAGGUACCUGUCGUGGUGUCGUAAUUAGUAGAGCAGCCACCACACUGCGAUCUAUUGAGGCUUAGCCAUUGACCGGGAGGUUUGU